rnacentral:rRNA from 1 species
UACGUAGGGGGCAAGCGUUGUCCGGAAUUAUUGGGCGUAAAGAGCGUGUAGGCGGCCAGAUAAGUCCGCUGUGAAAUCUCGAGGCUCAACUUCGAGCUGUCGGUGGAAACUAUCUGGCUAGAGUCCGGAAGAGGAGAAUGGAAUUCCCGGUGUAGCGGUGAAAUGCGCAGAUAUCGGGAAGAACACCCGUGGCGAAGGCGGUUCUCUGGGACGGUACUGGACGCUGAGACGCGAAAGCGUGGGGAGCGAACAGG